CCNYYUKUUUACCAAAAACAUCGCCUCUUGAAUUCUUGAUAUAAGAGGUCCUGCCUGCCCGGUGACCAAGUGUUCAACGGCCCGCGGUAUCUUAACCGUGCGAAGGUAGCGCAAUCACUUGUCUCUUAAAUGGGGACCUGUAUGAAUGGGCCUGACGAGGGCUUAACUGUCUCCUCUUUCCAGUCAAUGAAAUUGAUCUCCCCGUGCAGAAGCGGGGAUAUUUCCAUAAGACGAGAAGACCCUAUGAAGCUUUAGACGCAAGGCAGCUUAUGUCCAUUCAUCCUUUCAAAGAACUAAACUUARUAAUUCCUGUCCUUAAUGUCUUUGGUUGGGGCGACCAUGGGGAAGUACUUAACCCCCRCGAGGAAAGGGGAGAUUUUAAACCUACAACCCGAGAGCUGCAGCUCCAAGUAACAAUAAAUUUGACCAUUAAGAUCCGGACUAACCGAUCAACGAACCGAGUUACUCUAGGGAUAACAGCGCAAUCCCCUUAUAGAGUUCCUAUCGACAAGGGGGGUUUACSACCUCGAUGUUGGAUCAGGACAUCCUAAUGGUGCANCCGCUAUUAANGGUUCCGUUUGUUCAACGAUUAAAGKCCUWYRWRAUCUGAGNUYNNNNRSGG
rnacentral:rRNA from 1 species